AUUGAACGCUAGCGGGAUGCUUUACACAUGCAAGUCGAACGAGUGGCGGACGGGUGAGUAAUAUAUGGGAAAGUGCCCAGUGGCGGGGGAUAACUACUCGAAAGGGUGGCUAAUACCGCAUACUAUUGGAUGUGCCGAUAUGGGAUUAGCUAGUUGGUGGGGUAAAGGCUCACCAAGGCAACGAUCCCUAGCUGGUCUGAGAGGACGACCAGCCACACUGGGACUGAGACACGGCCCAGACUCCUACGGGAGGCAGCAGUGGGGAAUUUUGCACAAUGGGGGAAACCCUGAUCCAGCCAUCCCGCGUGUAUGAGAAGGCCUUCGGGUUGUAAAGUACUUUUGGCAGAGAAGCGGUACCUGCAGAAUAAGCACCGGCUAACUACGUGCCAGCAGCCGCGGUAAUAC
rnacentral:rRNA from 1 species